ensembl:lincRNA
GGGCCAACCACUCCCAGCCUAUGCGGGAGCUGCCCUGCCCACUCCCUGGAGGAGCUGGGGUCUUGGCAGGGCUCAGCCUUCUGAAGAGGAGAGAGGGACAGUGCGGGGAGGGACUGGGAGGGAAGGAGCUGAGGGAGCCGGAGAUGGAGUUGGGCUCUUUGGGGCCAAGCUGGUGUGUGCUAGGCAGCUGCCUGCCCCUGCCCCCUUCAGCCCGGGCACCUGCCCACAGCACUCGCAGUGUCCGGCCACCAGCUGCAGCCGGAGGAGCCAGACUUGGAGACAGAAGAGGAUGCCUCUGUAAGUUACCCACCCCAGACAUCCACCCAUCCUCACCUGGUGGAGCCGUAAGGGCUGAAGGUAACUCCCUGUCUCUUCCUGUCAGGUGACUGAGGGGCCUGCAGGGGAGGUCAUCCGGCCCCGGCCACAGGGCUCUUCACCCAUCUAUGAAUGCUCGACAGAGGGGGCCGGCCCUGGAGUCCAGGACGACAUUGCCAGCAGGCAAGGGUCCCUGGGGAGACGGAGAUCCUGGUGGAAGCGAGACUCAGGAGACUCGAGGACCUUCUCCAGCAUGAGUCGCCCAGAGCCUGUGCAGGAGGCAACCGAGGUGACACUCAAGACGGAGGUGGAGGCGGGAGCCAGUGGUUACAGCGUCACAGGUGGCGGUGACCAGGGGAUCUUUGUCAAGCAAGUACUGAAAGACUCCUCUGCAGCCAAGCUCUUCAGCCUGAGAGAAGGCGACCAGCUGCUCAGUGCCACCAUAUUCUUUGAUGACAUUAAAUACGAGGAUGCACUCAAGAUCCUGCAGUACUCAGAGCCAUACAAGGUGCAGUUCCAGAUCAAACGGAAGCUGCCUGCCUCCGAGGAUAAGGGCGGGGCUCUCCGAAGCUCCCAGCACGAGUCUGUGGCCUCGGGGAAGCAGGAAAAAGAUGUUGCAGACGGGUGUGCAGAGACACCCAAGAAGACCCUGGAGGAGGACGGAGACCAGGAGAGACUCAUCGCCAAGCCCAGGGAGACCCGAGGCAGAAAGGCUCGGGAAAGACUCUCAUGGCCCAAGUUCCAGGGCAUGAAGGGCAAGCAGGGACCAGGACCCCGGCGCUCACACAGCUCCUCGGAGGCCCAGGAGCGUGGCAGUGCUCGGGAGCUGUCCCCCACCAGUACAGACACAGAGGUCCAGUGCUCAGGAGAUCAUGGGGAGCAGAGUGCAGGACGAGACGGACAGAAGAGGAGGAGGAGAUUCCCAAGCCUGAGGUUCAGGAAGGGCUCCAGGCAGGACCCACCCAUCAUGGGGCGCCAGGACAGAGAGGUGCUUGGGGAACCGGACAGCACCAGGAAGCUGGAGGACACAUGGGCGGGUGGCACAGAGGCACAAAAGGCCAGACAGGUGUUGACCACGGUGCAGGAUGCAGAGCCUAGCUCCCUUGGACACUGGGAAGGGGCCACAGUGAGGCAACAAAGGAAGACAAAGCAGGUUAAGCCCACAGCGGGGGAGACCGCAGGUGAAGAAGCCAGAGCUGGGCCUGCCCUGGAUGAUGAAAGGGAAGAACCGCAGGGCCUGACAAAAAAGAUCACGGCAGUGUCACUCAGGGGCACAGAAAGCACACUGAGACGAACAGAAGAAAUCCAUGUCAGAAUACGCGACUUAAAGACACCUACAUUUACAUUUCCCAGGGAGAAGGUGCCAGGGACAGAAGACAAGACCUGGCGAAGGGCGGAGGAGAGGAGGGAAACUGCAUGGGUAGGCAGGGCAGGAACCCAGGCUGAAGGACAAGCAGAAGCUGACCAACAGGACAAGGAACCGGGAACCUCAGGAGGGAUGGGAAGGAGCCAAGAAAGAGAACUUGGGGAGACAGAACUGAGGGGAACACAGCCUGGCCAAGGGGAAGACAGGGACAAGGAGAGGGGAGAACUAAAGACCAAACUGCCCAGGUUCAAAAUGCUGGCAUUCGGGUGGUCACCAGCAAAGGAGGCAACUAGACACAUGAGAAAUGAUAUCAGAGAAAAAGAAGAAAUCUCAGGGACACUGGAAACAACUGAGGUGGGGGGCAGGGGACACAAAUCAGAAGGGAAGGACCCCAAGGGAGAGCUGGGCGGCCUGCAGCUAGAGGAGGCUCUGCCCAGCAUGAAUGUGGACGUCCAGGGCGCAGGAAGCAAGCUGGAGGGGGAGGUGGCCACCAAGGACGGCAAGUUCAAGAUGCCCAAGUUCAAGAUGCCCUCCUUUGGCAUGUCGGGACCCGGCAAGUCAAUCGAGGCCUCGCUGGAAGUGUCCACACCGAAGGUGGACGCCGAGGUGGCCCUGUCCACCAUUCAAGCUGACCUGAAGAGCCCUGAGGCCGGCACACAGCAGCCCUCCACCGACAUGGAAAUGUCAGCCGGCCAGGUGGCUGUGAAGGUGCCAGAGGUGGAGCUGCCCGCCGCGAGCACGGGUGCCAGCCUGAAAAGCCACCUGCCGAAGGUGCAGAUGCCCUGCAUCAAGAUGCCCAAAGUGGAACUCAAGGGCCCCCAGGUUGAUGUGAAGGGCCCCAAGGCGGAAGCGAAGGGCCCCAAGGGUGAGCUGAGCGGCCCCGAGCUGGAGGUGGCGCUGCCUAUUGUGGACGUGGACGUCCAGGCCCCUGGCCACAAGCUGGAGGGUGAGGUGUCCACGAAGGACAGCAAGUUGAAAAUGCCCAAGUUCAAGAUGCCCUCCUUUGGUGUGUCGGCAUCCGGCAAGGCCAUCGAGGCCUCGUUGGAGGCAUCAACACGGAAGCUGGAGGCCGAGGUGGCCCUGCCCGCCAUUCAAGGUGACCUGAAGAGCCCUGAGCCCGGCGCUCAGCAGCCCCCCAGCGGUGUGGAUUUCCCGGCCGUGCAGGCAGCCGCGAAGCUGCCCGAGGGUGAGCUGCCCUCUGUGAGCACGGGUGCCAGCCUGAAAGGCCACCUUCCCAAGGUGCAGAUGCCCAGCCUCAAGAUGCCCAAAGUGGAACUCAAGGGCCCCCAGGUUGAGGUGAAGGACCCCAAGGCGGAAGUGAAGGUCCCUAAGGGCGAGCUGAGCGGUCCUGAGCUGGAGGCAGCCGUGCCCAGCGGGGAGGUGGACAUCCAGGCCACCGGCGGCAAGCUGGAGGGGGAGGUGGCCACCAAGGACGGCAAGUUCAAGAUGCCCAAGUUCAAGAUGCCCUCCUUUGGGGUUUCGGCACCCGGCAAGUCCAUCGAGGCCUCGCUGGAGGUGUCCGCGUCCAAGCUAGAGGCUGAGGUGGCCCUCCCGGCCAUCCAAGGUGACCUGAAGAGGCCUGAGGCACACGCUCAGCUGCCCACCACUGACGUGGAACUGCCGGCCGGUCAGCUGGCUGUGAAGGUGCCCGAGGGCGAUCUGGCCGAGGAGGAGAUGCCCGCAGCACUCGGGGGUGCCAGCCUGAAAGGCCACCUGCCCAAGGUGCAGAUGCCCAGCCUCAAGAUGCCUAGCGUGGAACUCAAGGGCCCCCAUGUGGACGUUAAAGGCCCCAAGGUGGACGUGAAGGUCCCUAAGACGGAGGUGAAGGGGCCCACGGGUGAGCCGAGCGGCCCCGAGCUGGAGGCGGCACUGCCCAGCAUGGAGGUGGACGUCCAGGCCCCAAGUGGCCAUCUUGAAGUUGAGGUGGCCGCCAAGGACAGCAAGUUCAAGAUGCCCAAGUUCAAGAUGCCCUCCUUUGGCAUGUCGGGACCCGGCAAGUCAAUCGAGGCCUCGCUGGAAGUGUCCACACCGAAGGUGGAGGCCGAGGUGGCCCUGCCCACCAUUCAAGCUGACCUGAAGAGCCCUGAGGCCGGCACACAGCAGCCCUCCACCGACGUGGAAAUGCCAGCCGGCCAGGUGGCUGUGAAGGUGCCAGAGGUGGAGGUGCCCGCCGCAAGCACGGGUGCCAGCCUGAAAGGCCACCUGCCCAAGGUGCAGAUGCCCAGCAUCAAGAUGCCCAAAGUGGAACUCAAGGGCCCCCAGGUUGAUGUGAAGGGCCCCAAGGCGGAAGCGAAGGGCCCCAAGGGUGAGCUGAGCGGCCCCGAGCUGGAGGUGGCGCUGCCUAUUGUGGACGUGGACGUCCAGGCCCCUGGCCACAAGCUGGAGGGUGAGGUGUCCACGAAGGACAGCAAGUUGAAAAUGCCCAAGUUCAAGAUGCCCUCCUUUGGUGUGUCGGCAUCCGGCAAGGCCAUCGAGGCCUCGUUGGAGGCAUCAACACGGAAGCUGGAGGCUGAGGUGGCCCUGCCCGCCAUUCAAGGUGACCUGAAGAGCCCUGAGCCCGGCGCUCAGCAGCCCCCCAGCGGUGUGGAUUUCCCGGCCGUGCAGGCAGCCGCGAAGCUGCCCGAGGGUGAGCUGCCCUCUGCGAGCACGGGUGCCAGCCUGAAAGGCCACCUUCCCAAGGUGCAGAUGCCCAGCCUCAAGAUGCCCAAAGUGGAACUCAAGGGCCCCCAGGUUGAGGUGAAGGACCCCAAGGCGGAAGUGAAGGUCCCCAAGGGCGAGCUGAGCGGUCCUGAGCUGGAGGCAGCCGUGCCCAGCGGGGAGGUGGACAUCCAGGCCACCGGCGGCAAGCUGGAGGGGGAGGUGGCCACCAAGGACGGCAAGUUCAAGAUGCCCAAGUUCAAGAUGCCCUCCUUUGGGGUUUCGGCACCCGGCAAGUCCAUCGAGGCCUCGCUGGAGGUGUCCGCGUCCAAGCUAGAGGCUGAGGUGGCCCUCCCGGCCAUCCAAGGUGACCUGAAGAGGCCUGAGGCACACGCUCAGCUGCCCACCACUGACGUGGAACUGCCGGCCGGUCAGCUGGCUGUGAAGGUGCCCGAGGGCGAUCUGGCCGAGGAGGAGAUGCCCGCAGCACUCGGGGGUGCCAGCCUGAAAGGCCACCUGCCCAAGGUGCAGAUGCCCAGCCUCAAGAUGCCUAGCGUGGAACUCAAGGGCCCCCAUGUGGACGUUAAAGGCCCCAAGGUGGACGUGAAGGUCCCUAAGACGGAGGUGAAGGGGCCCAUGGGUGAGCCGAGCGGCCCCGAGCUGGAGGCGGCACUGCCCAGCAUGGAGGUGGACGUCCAGGCCCCAAGUGGCCAUCUUGAAGUUGAGGUGGCCGCCAAGGACAGCAAGUUCAAGAUGCCCAAGUUCAAGAUGCCCUCCUUUGGCAUGUCGGGACCCGGCAAGUCAAUCGAGGCCUCGCUGGAAGUGUCCACACCGAAGGUGGAGGCCGAGGUGGCCCUGCCCACCAUUCAAGGUGACCUGAAGAGCCCUGAGGCCGGCACACAGCAGCCCUCCACCGACGUGGAAAUGCCAGCCGGCCAGGUGGCUGUGAAGGUGCCAGAGGUGGAGGUGCCCGCCGCAAGCACGGGUGCCAGCCUGAAAGGCCACCUGCCCAAGGUGCAGAUGCCCAGCAUCAAGAUGCCCAAAGUGGAACUCAAGGGCCCCCAGGUUGAUGUGAAGGGCCCCAAGGCGGAAGCGAAGGGCCCCAAGGGUGAGCUGAGCGGCCCCGAGCUGGAGGUGGCGCUGCCUAUUGUGGACGUGGACGUCCAGGCCCCUGGCCACAAGCUGGAGGGUGAGGUGUCCACGAAGGACAGCAAGUUGAAAAUGCCCAAGUUCAAGAUGCCCUCCUUUGGUGUGUCGGCAUCCGGCAAGGCCAUCGAGGCCUCGUUGGAGGCAUCAACACGGAAGCUGGAGGCCGAGGUGGCCCUGCCCGCCAUUCAAGGUGACCUGAAGAGCCCUGAGCCCGGCGCUCAGCAGCCCCCCAGCGGUGUGGAUUUCCCGGCCGUGCAGGCAGCCGCGAAGCUGCCCGAGGGUGAGCUGCCCUCUGCGAGCACGGGUGCCAGCCUGAAAGGCCACCUUCCCAAGGUGCAGAUGCCCAGCCUCAAGAUGCCCAAAGUGGAACUCAAGGGCCCCCAGGUUGAGGUGAAGGACCCCAAGGCGGAAGUGAAGGUCCCCAAGGGCGAGCUGAGCGGUCCUGAGCUGGAGGCAGCCGUGCCCAGCGGGGAGGUGGACAUCCAGGCCACCGGCGGCAAGCUGGAGGGGGAGGUGGCCACCAAGGACGGCAAGUUCAAGAUGCCCAAGUUCAAGAUGCCCUCCUUUGGGGUUUCGGCACCCGGCAAGUCCAUCGAGGCCUCGCUGGAGGUGUCCGCGUCCAAGCUAGAGGCUGAGGUGGCCCUCCCGGCCAUCCAAGGUGACCUGAAGAGGCCUGAGGCACACGCUCAGCUGCCCACCACUGACGUGGAACUGCCGGCCGGUCAGCUGGCUGUGAAGGUGCCCGAGGGCGAUCUGGCCGAGGAGGAGAUGCCCGCAGCACUCGGGGGUGCCAGCCUGAAAGGCCACCUGCCCAAGGUGCAGAUGCCCAGCCUCAAGAUGCCUAGCGUGGAACUCAAGGGCCCCCAUGUGGACGUUAAAGGCCCCAAGGUGGACGUGAAGGUCCCUAAGACGGAGGUGAAGGGGCCCACGGGUGAGCCGAGCGGCCCCGAGCUGGAGGCGGCACUGCCCAGCAUGGAGGUGGACGUCCAGGCCCCAAGUGGCCAGCUUGAAGUUGAGGUGGCCGCCAAGGACAGCAAGUUCAAGAUGCCCAAGUUCAAGAUGCCCUCCUUUGGCAUGUCGGGACCCGGCAAGUCAAUCGAGGCCUCGCUGGAAGUGUCCACACCGAAGGUGGAGGCCGAGGUGGCCCUGCCCACCAUUCAAGCUGACCUGAAGAGCCCUGAGGCCGGCACACAGCAGCCCUCCACCGACGUGGAAAUGCCAGCCGGCCAGGUGGCUGUGAAGGUGCCAGAGGUGGAGGUGCCCGCCGCAAGCACGGGUGCCAGCCUGAAAGGCCACCUGCCCAAGGUGCAGAUGCCCAGCAUCAAGAUGCCCAAAGUGGAACUCAAGGGCCCCCAGGUUGAUGUGAAGGGCCCCAAGGCGGAAGCGAAGGGCCCCAAGGGUGAGCUGAGCGGCCCCGAGCUGGAGGUGGCGCUGCCUAUUGUGGACGUGGACGUCCAGGCCCCUGGCCACAAGCUGGAGGGUGAGGUGUCCACGAAGGACAGCAAGUUGAAAAUGCCCAAGUUCAAGAUGCCCUCCUUUGGUGUGUCGGCAUCCGGCAAGGCCAUCGAGGCCUCGUUGGAGGCAUCAACACGGAAGCUGGAGGCCGAGGUGGCCCUGCCCGCCAUUCAAGGUGACCUGAAGAGCCCUGAGCCCGGCGCUCAGCAGCCCCCCAGCGGUGUGGAUUUCCCGGCCGUGCAGGCAGCCGCGAAGCUGCCCGAGGGUGAGCUGCCCUCUGCGAGCACGGGUGCCAGCCUGAAAGGCCACCUUCCCAAGGUGCAGAUGCCCAGCCUCAAGAUGCCCAAAGUGGAACUCAAGGGCCCCCAGGUUGAGGUGAAGGACCCCAAGGCGGAAGUGAAGGUCCCCAAGGGCGAGCUGAGCGGUCCUGAGCUGGAGGCAGCCGUGCCCAGCGGGGAGGUGGACAUCCAGGCCACCGGCGGCAAGCUGGAGGGGGAGGUGGCCACCAAGGACGGCAAGUUCAAGAUGCCCAAGUUCAAGAUGCCCUCCUUUGGGGUUUCGGCACCCGGCAAGUCCAUCGAGGCCUCGCUGGAGGUGUCCGCGUCCAAGCUAGAGGCUGAGGUGGCCCUCCCGGCCAUCCAAGGUGACCUGAAGAGGCCUGAGGCACACGCUCAGCUGCCCACCACUGACGUGGAACUGCCGGCCGGUCAGCUGGCUGUGAAGGUGCCCGAGGGCGAUCUGGCCGAGGAGGAGAUGCCCGCAGCACUCGGGGGUGCCAGCCUGAAAGGCCACCUGCCCAAGGUGCAGAUGCCCAGCCUCAAGAUGCCUAGCGUGGAACUCAAGGGCCCCCAUGUGGACGUUAAAGGCCCCAAGGUGGACGUGAAGGUCCCUAAGACGGAGGUGAAGGGGCCCACGGGUGAGCCGAGCGGCCCCGAGCUGGAGGCGGCACUGCCCAGCAUGGAGGUGGACGUCCAGGCCCCAAGUGGCCAGCUUGAAGUUGAGGUGGCCGCCAAGGACAGCAAGUUCAAGAUGCCCAAGUUCAAGAUGCCCUCCUUUGGCAUGUCGGGACCCGGCAAGUCAAUCGAGGCCUCGCUGGAAGUGUCCACACCGAAGGUGGAGGCCGAGGUGGCCCUGCCCACCAUUCAAGCUGACCUGAAGAGCCCUGAGGCCGGCACACAGCAGCCCUCCACCGACGUGGAAAUGCCAGCCGGCCAGGUGGCUGUGAAGGUGCCAGAGGUGGAGGUGCCCGCCGCAAGCACGGGUGCCAGCCUGAAAGGCCACCUGCCCAAGGUGCAGAUGCCCAGCAUCAAGAUGCCCAAAGUGGAACUCAAGGGCCCCCAGGUUGAUGUGAAGGGCCCCAAGGCGGAAGCGAAGGUUCCCAAGGGUGAGCUGAGCGGCCCCGAGCUGGAGGUGGCGCUGCCUAUUGUGGACGUGGACGUCCAGGCCCCUGGCCACAAGCUGGAGGGUGAGGUGUCCACGAAGGACAGCAAGUUGAAAAUGCCCAAGUUCAAGAUGCCCUCCUUUGGCAUGUCGGGACCUGGCAAGUCAAUCGAGGCCUCGCUGGAAUUGUCCACACCGAAGUUGGAAGCCGAGGUGGCCCUGUCCACCAUUCAAGGUGACCUGAAGAGCCCUGAGACUGGCGCUCAGCUUCCCUCUGCUGAUGUUGACCUGCAUUCUGGCCAGUCGGCCGUGAAGCUGCCUGAAGCCGCCCUCCCGGUGUCAGAGCUGCUCCCUUCUGAUGGUGGCACUGAGAAUGCUGUCUUCUCUGGUGGUGUUACAGGAUCCUCUGUUGUUCUUCCUUUGAUGAGUGAGACUCUCACCCAGUUCCAUGGUCCUGCGCUUUCUCCUCCACAACAUGGUGCUCCACAACAUGGUGCUUCCGAAUCCUUAUCUGUGGCUCCCUAUGUGGCGCUGUGGUCCUCUGGGUUUCCCCAGUCUGAGGAGCCUCCUCCAGCCCACCCCAGUGGCCACCCAACCCCUCCUCUGUCCCCUCCCACUGUGACUUUCCCUAAAUUCCACAAACCACGCUUCAUGGUUUCUGUCCCGCUCACAGUGGUUCCUGAGGGAGACUCUGGCAUUGCUGUCCAGGGUGCAGUCCUGCCCCAUGGCCAGGCCCCAGGGCAGGAUGCCUUGGCUCCUGAAGUGCAUGUGUCCCACCUGACAGGCUUCCCAGUGGCACCUGGGGCUGCACCUAUGUCCGAGAUCAUAGAGCAGCCUCUGAGCCUGUCUGUAGGAGCUGCCGUUGCAGAAGGUCCUGAGGGGGAGUGGGCUGGGAGUCCCUCCAAACGCAAUCGCUUUAAGUUGCCGUUGUUCAGCCGGUCACCUAAGAAGGAGGCCAAGUCAGCAGGGGACAGCUUGUGCCACCUGGAGGACCCCUCAGGUAGCCUAACUGUGGAUCUGGAUCAUGAAGACUCCCAACCUGGGGUUCAGGGCUCCCACAUGGAGGCACACAUAGCCCUGCCUCCAGGGAAGGAAGGAGACUCAGAGAGAACCAGAAAGGUUGGCUUCAGCCUCCCAAGGCUGGCCCUUCCCAAACUAAAGGUGUCACAAGGGUCGCGCUGGCCCAGUCCCUAGGGCGACAUAGAUACU